rnacentral:rRNA from 1 species
GAUGAACGCUGGCGGCGUGCCUAAUACAUGCAAGUCGAGCGAACAGACGAGGAGCUUGCUCCUUUGACGUUAGCGGCGGACGGGUGAGUAACACGUAGGUAACCUACCUAUAAGACUGGGAUAACUUCGGGAAACCGGAGCUAAUACCGGAUAAUAUUUCGAACCGCAUGGUUCGAUAGUGAAAGAUGGCUUUGCUAUCACUUAUAGAUGGACCUGCGCCGUAUUAGCUAGUUGGUAAGGUAACGGCUUACCAAGGCAACGAUACGUAGCCGACCUGAGAGGGUGAUCGGCCACACUGGAACUGAGGCACGGUCCAGACUCCUACGGGAGGCAGCAGUAGGGAAUCUUCCGCAAUGGGCGAAAGCCUGACGGAGCAACGCCGCGGGAGUGAUGAAGGUCUUCGGAUCGUAAAACUCUGUUAUUAGGGAAGAACAAACGUGUAAGUAACUGUGCACGUCUUGACGGUACCUAAUCAGAAAGCCACGGCGAACUACGU